GCCCGCUCAGAAACUUAAAUAGAAUUGACGGGUCCCCGCACAAGCAGCGGAGCGUGUGGUUUAAUUCGUUGCUACACGAAGAACCUUACCUGGGUUUGACAUAGCAGUGGUAGGGAAGCGAAAGCGGACCGACCCUUCGGGGAGCUGUUGCAGGUGUUGCAUGGCUGUCGUCAGCUCGUGUCGUGAGAUGUUCGGUUAGGUCCGCUAACGAGCGCAACCCGCGUUGUGUGUUACAAGUGUCACACAAUACCGCCGGUAUUAAGUCGGAGGAAGGUGCGGAUGACGUCAAGUCAGCAUGACCUUUAUAUCCAGGGCUACACACACGCUACAAUGGUCGGCACAAUAGGUUGCCAAGUCGUGAGACGGAGCCAAUCCUCCAAAGCCGGCCUCAGUUCAGAUUGCAGGCUGCAACUCGCCUGCAUGAAGUUGGAGUUGCUAGUAACCGCAGGUCAGCCAUACUGCGUUGAAUACGUUCCCGGGGCUU
rnacentral:rRNA from 1 species